GAUGAACGCUGGCGGCGUGCCUAAUACAUGCAAGUCGAGCGAACGGACGAGAAGCUUGCUUUUCUGAUGUUAGCGGCGGACGGGUGAGUAACACGUGGAUAACCUACCUAUAAGACUGGGAUAACUUCGGGAAACCGUAGCUAAUACCGGAUAAUAUUUUGAACCGCAUGGUUCAAAAGUGAAAGACGGUCUUUCUGUCUCUUAUAGAUGGAUCCGCGCUGCAUUAGCUAGUUGGUAAGGUAACGGCUUACCAAGGCAACGAUGCAUAGCCGACCUGAGAGGGGGAUCGGACACACGGGAACUGAGACACGGACCAGACAACUACGGGAGGAAGCAGUAGGGAAGAUUCCGCAAUGGGCGAAAGCAUGACGGAGCAAAGCCGCGUGAGUGAUGAAGGACUUCGGAUCGUAAAAAUCUGUUAUUAGGGAAGAACAUAUGUGUAAGUAAAUGUGCACAUAUUGACGGUAACUAAUCAGAAAGCAACGGCUAACUACGUG
rnacentral:rRNA from 1 species